rnacentral:lncRNA from 1 species
AUGACUUCCUGCUCAGAGUUACUGAUAAUAUUUUUUGGAAUGCUGAAUAUGUGCCCAGUCCUGUGCUGGUCCCUUUGCAUAUUAUCUCACCUGUAUAAUGUGCCAGGAAGAUGGGCGGAAGCUCUUUCUCAAGCCUCUCCUAACUCCAGGCACCAGGAUGCUGACAUGCCACCAGAGGAAAGUGUGGCCUUGAGGAAUGUGAUUUUCUCUGCCUGCUCUUUUUAUCUUCACCAUCAGCAGCCUGGCUUCCUUGGCAUGGACGCAAGCAUGGUCAUCAAGAUUUCCCAGGUUUCCUGUCCUACAGCUUUCACCACUAUCGACAGACUGCAGAUGUUUCUCGGUUAUAGACCGAAAAGUCCCAGAGAAGAAUGCUGAUUGGCUCCUCCUCAACCACUUGCCCAAUCCUGGAGCUUCCCAGUGUUGCCAGGAGAGCAGAGAUUGUCAGAAAAGUUGAAAUCAUGGCUCUAUCUAUUCUGAAUGCCCUAAUCAGAUAGGAACAAAGGGGGAGAUGGAGAUUUUCUACCCUGACCUGGAUUGGAGUUACACAGGCAACUGCUUUGCAAUUACUUGUUAAUCUAUGCAUUUAUAUUGUAAACAUUUUUCAGUAUGAAUGCUCUAUUUCACGACAGUUGUUUAUUUUUCUUUAAGUUCAGUUCUGGAUCUAAAUGAAAAAACAAAAGUUAUCCAUAAAAAAUAUCCAAUUUUGCUCCUUAAAAAUGAUGUCUUGGGGCGGGGGCGAGGGGGCGCUGCCUCAACUCUGCACCUCCAUUUUUUCCUUUGGUGACAGCAAGUUGAUCAUAGCCCCCAUCGGGCUUGUCCCAAGGAAUAGCUGAGAAAGUGCCUAACAGAGGAUCUUUUAAGUUUUUAAAUAUAUGUAUGUAUGUAUAUUAUAUGCAUAUUAAUACACAGCUGUAGAAGAUGAAAAUAUAAGUCAUUGACAUCAAGGAAAGGAGAGGGAAACGAAUUCUGAAUCAUGUUCCUUAACAGCCCUCUUUUCUUAUUUCUCUAAAAGGGCAGAGGGAGCAGGGGAGGGACUUGGACUCAAGACGAUAUCAUUCAAAUUAACUAAUUUGACAGGAGGAGGAUCCUAAUAACCAGCAAACCCCCAGAUUUCCCAAAGAAGAGCCACCAGGUAGUGUGGGAGUCCCCUGGUAUAUUUGGGAGCCCCAGUGGAAUACAGAGGACUUGAAGAACUCUUUAAUUCCCCUCUCCUUCUGGCCUGAAGAAAAUGAGUCCAGGCUUGGAGAACAGACUUGUGGUUGCCAAGGGGGAGAGGGAGGGAAUGGGAUAGACUGGGAAUCUGGGGUUAACAGAUGCAAACUAUUGCUUUUGGAAUGGACAAGCAAUGAGAUCCUGCCACGUAGCACUGAGAACUGUAUCUGGUGAUGGAGCAGGAUGGAGGAUGAUGUGAGAAAAAGAAUGUGUAUGUGUAUGUGUGACCGGGUCACUUUGCUGUCCAGGAGCAAAUUGACAGAACACUGUAAACCAACUAUAAUGGAAAAAAUAAAAAUCAUUAAAAAGAAAGAAAG